GACAGAGGGUGCAAACGUUGUUCGGAAUUACUGGGCGUAAAGCGCGUGUAGGCUGCUCGGAAAGUCGGAUGUGAAAGCCCUGGGCUCAACCUAGGAAGUGCAUUCGAAACUUCCGAGCUGGAGUGCUGGAGAGGAAGGCGGAAUUCUCGGUGUAGAGGUGAAAUUCGUAGAUAUCGAGAGGAACACCGGUGGCGAAGGCGGCCUUCUGGACCGACACUGACGCUGAGGCGCGAAAGCUAGGGGAGCAAACGGG
rnacentral:rRNA from 1 species